GGACUACUGGGGUUUCUAAUCCUGUUCGCUCCCCACGCUUUCGCUCCUCAGCGUCAGUUGUUGCCCAGAGACCCGCCUUCGCCACCGGUGUUCCUCCUGAUAUCUGCGCAUUUCACCGCUACACCAGGAAUUCCAGUCUCCCCUGCAACACUCUAGUUUGCUCGUAUCGACUGCAGACCCGAGGUUGAGCCUCGGGAUUUCACAGCCGACGCAACAAACCGCCUACGAGCUCUUUACGCCCAAUAAUUCCGGACAACGCUUGCACCCUACGUAUUACCGCGGCUGCUGGCAC
rnacentral:rRNA from 1 species